rnacentral:rRNA from 1 species
AAUUGGAUUGAGAACAACGUACAACUCUUAUCGAUAAGCCAUUGGAGGGCAAGUCUGGUGCCAGCAGCCGCGGUAAUUCCAGCUCCAAUAGCGUAUAUUAACGUUGUUGCAGUUAAAAAGCUCGUAGUUGAAGUGAGGGAGUGUGUGGGUAUGAGAGCUAGUCUCAAGUACUUACAACCUCCCCCCUCCAAUCGGUGUAGUGGGGUAUUCAGUUAUUCUACUACUCCUUUGGUCGUUUACUGUGAGAAAAUUAGAGUGUUCAAAGCGGGCGUUUGUUUGAAUAGAUUAGCAUGGAAUAAUGAUUGAAGGCUUUCGUGUUCGAUUUGAUUGGUUUGUUCAUGGAAGCAAGGUUAAAAGGAACAGUUGGGGGUAUUCAUAUUCACUAGUUAGAGGUGAAAUUCUCGGAUUUAUGGAAGAUGAACAAGUGCGAAAGCAA